rnacentral:rRNA from 1 species
CAGCAGCCGCGGGAAUACGUAGGGUGCAAGCGUUAAUCGGAAUUACUGGGCGUAAAGCGUGCGCAGGCGGUUUGUUAAGACAGAUGUGAAAUCCCCGGGCUCAACCUGGGAAUGGCAAUGGAUACUGGCAAGCUAGAGUGUGUCAGAGGAUGGUGGAAUUCCCGGUGUAGCGGUGAAAUGCGUAGAGAUCGGGAGGAACAUCAGUGGCGAAGGCGGCCAUCUGGGACAACACUGACGCUGAGGCACGAAAGCGUGGGGAGCAAACAGGAUUAGAUACCCCGGUAGUCCCUGUCUCUUAUAC